CCUACUCCUGCAUCUAUUGUCUAUUGAAAGACUGAGGCAAUGGGGAAAUCAGGAGAAUAAGGGGGCAGUGCAGUAUAGUAUUGUUAAUGUUAAGCAGGGAGGAUUAGAGCUGACACUUCGUGGCACAAAACAGUUUAAGUGAUAAAAGUCAAAGAGAAAAACUUUUUAUGAGGGUAGGUUGAGCAAGCUAGGGCUUUUCAUUUGGAAUGAAGGUAAUAAGAGGCAUAAAUUGAGUGGGCAGCCAGGGACUUUUUCCCAGGGUGGAAGUCGUGGGCAUAACUUUAAGGUGAUUGGAUGAAAAUAUAGCGAGCACAUCGGAGGCUUUUCCGCUCUGUGCCCUGUGCCACUUUGGGUGACAACCUUAUCAUUUUUGUCUGUUUUUUAUUUUUACAAGGCUGAGUUGCUAGCUCGACGCUCAACCCGGCACAUGGCGGAAAGCGAGCAAGGUGCCGGCCAUAUUUGAACCCGGGACCACUCGCCUGGUAGUCUGGUGCUGACGCCUCUAUGCCAACGGCUGGCUGAACGUCACAGGCAAGUUUUUUCCAUACACAGAGUGGUGAUUUGAGUCGAACGUGCCGCCAGGGGUGGUGGUAGAGGCAGAUAGAGUAGGUGCAUUAAAUAAACUCUUAGAUAGGCACAUGGAUGAUAGGUUAUAUGGAAAGGAAGAGUUGUAUUUGAUCUUAAGGUAGGCACAACAUCCUGGGCAGAAGGACCUGUACUGUACAAUGUUCUAUGUACAUUCAUUACAAGAUAGGAGAACUGAUUGUGCAAGCAGACAUGGAAGAGCACGCCCUGACAGCCGGUACAGAGAGACAGCAGCAAGGUGACCACAAGGUACACUGCAGGUGCUGUGGUCAAAUCAAGACGUACAAAAAAGCUGGAUGAACUCAGCAGGUCGGGCAGCAUCCAUUGAAAGGAGCAGUCAACGUUUCGGGCCGAGACCCUUUGUCAGGACUGAAGGGGGGGGCAGGGGCCCUAAAAAAGAAGGUGAAAACCAAUCAGAGGAAAGAUCAAGGGGUGGGGAAGGGGAUAGGCCAGAAAGAUGAAGAAGGAAUGUAAGGGGAAAGCACUAUGGGUAGUAGAAGAAGGCAGAGUCAUGAGAGGUGAUAGGCAGUGAAAAGAGGAGACAGAGUGAAGGUGGGAUGGGGGAAGGGAGAGGGAGGGAAUUACUGGAAGUUGGAGAAUUCGAUGUUCAUACCAUCAGUCUGGAGACUACCCAGACGGUAUAUGAGGUGUUGCUCCUCCAACCUGGGUUUGGCCUCAUCAUGGCAGUAGAGGAGGCCAUGUAGGGACAUAUCUAGAUGGGAAUGAGAGGCAGAGUUGAAGUGGGUGGCAACCGGGAGGUCCUGUCUAUUGUGAUGGACGGAGCGGAGGUACUCAACGAAACGGUCCCCCAAUCUACGUCGGGUCUCGCCGAUGCGGAGGAGGCUGCACCAGGAUGCAAUAGAUGACCCCAACAGACUCACAAGUGAAGUGUUGCUUCACCUGGAAGGACUGUUUGGGGCCCUGAAUGGUGGUAAGAGAGGAGGUGUGGGGACAAGGUGACCACAAUGGAAACCGAGUGCUCUGGGGAAUAUCUCAGGAGGAUAUGCAGAAUGGAAAGGUGCAAUAUCUUGAUUCAAACCAAAUGCUUGAUUACAAGGGAUGACAUUAGGAAGGCUGUGGCAAGUGAUUCUGGUUUAGAAAGCACAGCUUGCUCAAGAGGAGAUAAGGAACAACAAAUGGAAGCCAGUUAAUAACCAGUGUUGCAGAGUGCAGACACGUGCAAAGGUGAUGCAAUUACUUUUGUAAGGGGAAUUUCUUGGCUGUGGAGAGUCAAAUAAAGAUUUUAUUAUUCCCGAAAACAGCAUACCACUGAGGGGGAAAGGAAUCCCACAGGGAAGUUACAGCAGCAUUAAGAGAAGGCCAGAUUUCUUAAAAUUCCUCAGUCAGCACAAGAAUGACUUAAGUGGAAGUGGAUCUGUCAAUGAUUAACUAGAAUGGUUAUUUUCCUGUAGCUUCUUGUGACAUAGAAGGAACCCAUUCCAAUUGUUGAGUCUGUGCCAGCUCUCACUGCGAUUCCAACAAUCCAAUCAUUCCUAGUCUCAAUUUGGGGUGGUAUAAGAUUGCGAAAAGAAACAGACGCCAUGGUACGACGUAGACAGUUUACUCCCCUCCAGAGAUGCUGCGUGUCUCUCAAAGCUGCGUGUCUCUGUCGUGAGAGGUGGAAACGGGCAAGGCCGGCCGCCAGGGCUCUGGCAAAGUCAGUUCCCUGCCCAGUGGUUGCCCAAGUGUUGAUGGACUCCGGCCAUACCGUCAACUUCAGAGGACUUUGAAGACGGGAGGACAUCAAAGGUCUACGCUCCAUGGUGGGGGGGGGGGGGGGGGUAUGGACCAAGUAAGUCGUGUAGAUGAUGCAUCCUCCAGCAUUUAUGUGUGUUGCUAUGUUAUGGUGAUGGGACUGAGCAUCGGGAGAAUUUUGGAAAUCAGCAAAAAUAUUGCUGAAGAUUGUGGGGAAACAGAAGGAUUAUAAAAAUAGAUACUUCUAUCAUUUUUACAAUCCUCAUUAACUGUUUUAGUUAGAGAUUGAUAGAUCCAUGUACCUGUGGAGUCUUGAUAUAUAUUUUAACAAGGAAAAUAACGUCUUUAUAAUCAGUCACUGCUUUAUAUUGUGACCUAAUUUCACAAGGCACAUUAGGGCGCCAAUCAGGGUCAUGUGAAGCCACGGGAGCAGGCGGAGGAUGGUCGUAUGAGCAGCUGGUGCAGAUCACAAGUACUGAUGACAUCUUCAAUUCCUGUUCGUUGAUAGUUUGCCUGAAUUGUUCGUGUGCGUUCUCAAUUCGCUGAGUAGUCUGCUUGAGCGUCUGAAAUUGAAAAUCCAGAUUCUUCAGGGAUUCUUGGACAUUAAAAGUGGAUUUUUCGAGCUUCCCAUGCCGUCUGACCUGCUGAGCCUUUACUCCUUGGGACAGCAUUGGCGGCUCUUUAUUCUGGCAGGGGGCAAACACAAUAAUGAGGCAGCCACACCACGCACGUCCAGGGCUGCCACUGCAUGGUCAAUGAAAGAUCAACCAGAGUGCAGAAGACAACAAACAGUGCAAAUGUAGAAUUAAAUAAAUAGAAAUAAAUAAUGAGAUAAAGAGUCCUUAAAGUGAGAUCACUGGUUGUGGUAAAAAUCUCAGUGGAUGGGCAAGUGAGUGUAGUUGUCCACCCUGAUGGUUGAGGGGUAGUAACUGUUGUUGAACCUGGUGGUGAGAGACCUGAGGCUCCUGUAGCUUCUUCCUGAUGGCAGCAGCAAGAAAAGAGCACGGCCUGGGUGGGGAGGAUCUCUGAUGAUGGAUGCUGCUUUCUUACAACAGCAUUUCAUGUAGAUGUGCUCUAUGGUUGGGAGGACGUUACCCGCGAGGUACUGCACCGAAUCCACUACUUUUUGUAGGAUUUUCCAUUCAAAGGCAUUGGUGAUUCCAUAUCAGGCCAUGAUGCAGCCAAUCAAUAAAUACACUCUCCACUACACAUCUAUAGAAGUUUGUCGAUGUCAUACUAAAUCUCUGCAAACUCCUAAGGAUAUAGAGGUGCCGUUGUACUUUCUUCGCAAUUGCAUUUACGUGCUGGUUAGUGUGCCGGUACAGCAAGUAGGAAAGCAAACAAAUGUAUUGUCUUUGUCAUUAAAAAAAGGCUUCAGGCUUCCUACAUUUGUACACAGUGACGGAUUAAUGACGACAUACAGUCUCAGCUUCCGUACCCAUGGAUGUACUUGCAUUGGGUAAAAAGGACCAUUCGAUGGAUUUCCAAGUUGCAGGAGUCGGCUUAUGAAGAACGAUUGACCAGACUGGACCCAAACUGGUUUGGAAAUUAGAAUAAGACGUGGUCUUAUUGAAACAGUUAAGACCAAGGAAACCAAGGAGACAUAGGAGACUACAGAUGCUGGGAAUGUGGUUCAAAGGACAAACAGCCAGAGAAGCUCGGUGGGUCCGGCAGCAUCUAUGGAGAGAAAUGCCAGACGAUGACGACUUGACAAGCUGUGUCUGUUUGUUGAGGACUUCAGGAUUAUGAAGCGUUAUUUUGGAAUAAGAUAGCACCGAUUUAAGACAGAGAUGCAGAAUAAUUUCUUCCAUCGGGGGGGGGGCCUCAAAUUCUCCACUGCAGAGGAUUGUGGAGGCUGGGUCAUUGAAUGGAUUCAGGAUGCAGUGAGCAUUUUCUUGGACUACAAGGAAGUUCAAGUUUAAUUGUCAUGUUCAACCAUACUGCCAAAUGAAACGGUGUUCCUCUGUGGCCAAGGUGCAAAACACAGGACCAACAGUCACUCAUAGCACAUACAAUUAUGACAGCAGAAAAAUAUACAGUAAAUAUAUUUCUUUAAAAUAGCCCAAGUCUCUGAAUAUCACGGCCUGUAGAUUUAUGGUGCAUUCAUGUUGCCCUGGAAACACAUUUCUGCAAGAACAAGCAGCAGAAGUUCCUUGUUUUGUGCAUGUGCUUGUCUUCCACAGAGUGACCACUGGAGGGCAGCACCAACCGCGUGGGAUCCAGCAGCACACAGCCAGCCCUGGCGGUCUCCUUCGCCUGCGACCCCGGGGAUCGGGGCCUUGUCUGCAUAACAACCGAGGGAACACGGCUUUCCCUCCGUUGGUGAACACCAAUGACCCUGUACAUCGGACUCUCAGUAUUCUACAUUACCAAUCUCCACAGUGAUCACAAUAAAAACAUCCAAGUCGAUCAUUCCCACCGUUUGUUGGACCGCACGCUGCCUGGGUGGCUGCAGCAGGUUGCAACAUGUCCAGUUCCAUUGCUAUCCCGCGACUCGCUAGUGAAGUAGACGGGCCGUACUUGAUGUGCUUAAUAACCAGCAGCGUCUUGUAAAGAAGACAAAGGACGGACAGCUGAAAGCUCUGAGGAACAGGCCGGAAAGUGGAGCUGAGCCCUAAUUUGGAUCAGUCACUGAGUGCUGGAGCAGGCCUGAAGUCUUCGGUCUGUGGGAGGAAACCAGAGCACUCGGAGGAAACUCACGUGGUGACGAGGAGAACGUACAAACUCAUUGCAGGCAGCAGCAGGAAUUGAAUUCAGGUCACUGGUACUGUAAAGCGUUGUGCUAACCACUACAAUACUGCGUUUCUGUGGAUUGUAAAUGUCUUGCCGAUGAUAACAGUUAGAUGUCAAAAGUAGUUAAGAUUCUCUCUUGUUGGAGAUGCUCACUGACUGAUCCCCUAAAGGACUUGAAGAUUACUUCUUACUUACUAUUCCACACCCCCGUUUGGCUACAUUUUGUUCCUUCCAAGCGUGAACUGCUUUGUUCAAAGAUUCAGAGUACACUUAUUAUCAAAGUAUAUAACCCCCAAAACUCGUCUUCCCCACAGUCACGAAACAACGAACCGUGGAACCAACCUGCCUAAAGAAAAGCAUCAAGUCCUCCUCCUCCCCCCUACGCAAACAGCAACCAAAAAAAAAAUAGUGGAAACACGGAAUUUCAAAACACAAUCUCAGAAGGCUUAUUUCGGUACAGUUCAGCUCAGUGUUCAUUAUCUGCAGGCCGACCGGAUUUAAAAUACAGUCGCUCAGAAGCAGUAACAAGAAAGAGCAACCACAACUAGAACACGGCAUAAACCUGAUCCCGUCUAGUCAAUCCUCUCCAGCUUCUCCAGGCACUUUCUUUUUAAAAAACCCUGAUUGUUUCAAAAUGCUUCCCUAUCGUGAAUUAAGCAGACUUUAAUAUCCAACAUAUCCUUGUACCCUUUUUGAACCUUUUGGCAACUGCCUGGUCCUCUGGGAUCUCCACUCUACAAUGGGAGGAUGGCCAAGCUCUUUAGAAGUCUCUACCUUUCCUCAGCCACCCAAGACACAACCCACUCCGGCCAGAUUAUUUACCCAAAGCAAACUCUUCUAAUAAUUCUUCCUCGUCUAGUUUUACAUUAUCCAUCAUCUCCAGCUUUGCCCAGAGGUUAGUUGUAUCGGCUUCCUCGGAAAGCACUGGUAGAAGUGUUUAUCCACUGACAGGAAGGAUGCAGUCGUGUGGGAAAGAGUGCAGAGGAGGUUCUCCAGGAAGUUUCCCGGAUUCGGGGAAUUUAGUUAGGGGGAGAGGUUGGAGAUGCUGAGCUUGUUCUGUCUGGAGCGAAGGAGGCUGAUAGAAGUUCAGAGGACUGAGAGAAAUCGAUAGGGUAAACACGAGUGAAUCUGCAAAUGCUGGAAAUAAAUAAAAACACAUAAUGCUGGCAGAACUCAACAGGCCAGACAGCAUCUAUGGGAGGAGGUAGUGACGACAUUUCGGCCCGAAACGUCGUCACUGCAGGCAGCUGUGUUUCGUAGGCACCACUAUGUUUUGUAGGAUUUUGUAGCCAGACAGUGGUGUAUCUGUGGAAUUCAUUGCCACAGGUUGCUGUGAAGGCAGAUUAUUGGGUAUAUAUAAGGCAGAGCAUCUUGAUUCACCAGAAUGGGCAGAAGGCAGAAGAUUGAGGCUGAGGAAAAUUGGAUCAGCCAUGAUGAAUUGUUGCAGCAGCCUCUAUGAGCCAAAUGGCCCAAUUCUGUUCCUAUAUCUCAUGGUCUUAAAUAGACCAGACAGCUUCAAGUUGCUGGGUGUCAACAUCUCAGAGGAUCUAGCCUGGGCCUAACACAUUGACGCAAUCACGAAUAAGGCAUGCCAAAGGCUAUACUUCAUUUGGAUUUUGAGGAGACUUGGUACAUCACUAAAGACUCUACACCAUCUCUACGGAUGUACGGUGAGAGCAUUCUUUUGGUUCCGACGCUGCCUGCUGUAGAGGUUACUAUUCACAGGAUCGAAAGUGGAAGCACAGGGCUUGUAGACUCUGCCAGCUUCCAUCACAGGCACAAGUCUCCCCACCAUCAAAGACAUCUACAAAGGAUGCAACAUCAAGAACAUGCAACAUCCAUCACUAAGGAGGCAUGGCAGUGGCUAUACAUCUUUAAGAUUUUGGGGAAAUUUGAUAAGUCACUAAAUAGUCUACAAAAUCUCUAUAGAUGCAUGGUGCUUGUAUCACUGCUCGCUAUGGAAGCUCCUAUGCAUGGGAUCAAAGAGGAAACCGAAGCACGAGGAAGGAACUCACGUAGUCACGGGGAGGACAUACAAAACUCCUUACAGGCAGCGGCAGGUACUGCAGAGUGUUGUGCUGACCACCACGCUACCUUGCCGCCCUAUCUGUACACGCUUCGUACAGGGGCGGCAUAGUGGCUUAGCGGUAUGCGCAACACUAAUACAGUUGCAGCGAUUUCCGUUCAAUUCCCACAGCUGUCUGUAAGGAGCCUGUACAUUCUUAUUUCCUCCGGGUGCUCUGCUUUCCUCCCACAUUCCAAAGAUGUCCAGUUAGGGUUGGUAAGCUGUGAACACGUGGAGGGGCCGGUAGUGCUGAGGAAACAAGAGAGUCUGCAGAGAGACUUGGAUAGAUUGGGGGAAUGGACAAAGAAGUGACAAAUGAAUUACUAUGUCAGAAAGUGUACGGUCAUGCACUUUGGUAGAAGAAAUAAACAGGCAGACUAUUAUUUAAAUGGGGAGAGAAUUCAAAGUUCUGAGAUGCAACAGGACUUGGGAGUUCUCGUGCAGGAUACCCUUAAGGUUAACCUCCAGGUUGAGUCGGUGGUGAAGAAGGUGAAUGCAAUGUUGGCAUUCAUUUCUAGAGGAAUAGAGUAUAGGAGCAGGGAUGUGAUGUUGAGGCUCUAUAAGGCAAUGGUAAGACCUCACUUGGAAUACUGUGUGCAGUUUUGGGCUCCUUUUUUAAGAAAGGAUGUGCUGACGUUGGAGAGGGUUCAGAGAAGAUUCACUAGAAUGAUUCUGGGAAUGAGAGGGUUAACAUAUGAGGAACGUUUGACCGCUCUUGGACUGUACUCCUUGGAGUUUAGAAGAAUGAGGGGGGACCUCAUAGAAACAUUUUGAAUGUUAAAAGGCAUGGACAGAGUGGAUGUGGCAAACACGAGGAAAUCUGCAGAUGCUGGAAAUUCAAACAACAACACACACAAAAUGCUGAUGAAGCACAGCAGGCCAGGCAGCAUAAUAAAGAGAAGUACAGUCGAUGUUUCGGGCCGAGACCCUUCAUCAGGACUUCUGACUUCAGUCUAGUACGAGAGGACAUGACUUAAGGAUUGCAGAGCGCCCAUUCAGAACAGAGAUGCGAAAAAUAUUUUUUAGCCAGAGGGUGGUGAAUCUAUGGAAUUUGUUGCCACGGGUGGCUGUUGAGGCCACGUCACUGGGUGUAUUUAAGAGAUUGAUAGGUAUCUGAGUAGUCGGGGCAUCAAAGGUUAUGGUGAGAAGGCGGGGGAAUGGGACUAAAGGGGAGAUUGGAUCAGCUCAUGAUGAAAUGGUGGAGCAGACUCGAUGGGCUGAAUGGCCAACUUCUGCUCCUUUGUCUUAUGGUCUAACAUGUUGUAUUGGCACUGGAUGGCAACAUUUGCAAUAUACCCAGUAUGAUCCUCGCUGGUUUGAUGCAAACAAAACAUUCGUUGGAUGUUUCAAUGUACAUGUGACAAAUAAAGCCAACCCUCAUCUUUUCAAAAGAAAAUUCUGACACAGACAGUGAAGGAGAGUGCGAGUGUGAGGGAGACUGAGAGGGGGAAGUGGACAAAGAAUCUAUAAACAGAGUUUAGCGUUUAUAUAUCUUUUAAAAAAGAUAAUGACUUUUGAAAAACAGUAUUAACAUUUUGAAUUAAUGAACUUUCAGCAGCACGGGAAAAUUUUAGAAAUAAAAUAAGUUACAUUCCAGAGAACAAGUGAAGGUCAGAGUUUGGAAGGAGACCAAAAGAGAGUGAAUGAGACAAAGCAAAGGAAAGAGGGAGGUGAGAGCUGGUGAGUGACUGAAGGAGGGUCAAAGGAGCAGCAAAUCGAAGACAACAAAUUAAAUCUAAGUACUAGAAAGGAAAUGAGAGAAAAAGUGAACGCUGGAAAUGUGUUUCUGAGAACAAUUCAUCAGAACACAGACAUAUUUCAGAACUUUGGCCUGUAGAUCAGGGGGUCCAACACUUUUUUAUAAUGCCAUGGACCCCCACCAUUAAUUGAGGGGUCAGGCUGGGAACUCCUGCUGCAGGUUGUUAGUUUGAUAUAAAAUCAUGGAAACACUAAGGAGAGAAACAUCAACUGUUUAUUCCCAUCUAUAGGUGCUGCCCGACUUGCUGAACUCCUCCAGCACAUUGCGUGUACUGCUCUAGACUUCCAGCAUACGAAGAACCUCUUGUGUCUGCAGUAUUUUAUUUCUGAUUUGGAUUAUUAAUUGGCUUGUCCGUUUGCAUGCAAAUUUUGAAUGUUUUUCAAAAUUUAAAAUUAGCUCUGGCCGGCAGAGUCGCCACUCUCACAGAUCAGCAGUGAAUUUAUUGCGAGUGGCAGCUGGGAAUUUCCUUUGCUCCUCGCCAGUAACCUACCUAGAAAUCUUCGCCUGGGAUGCAGGCACUCACCACCAGGUGAGAUCUCACUGAUCUCAAAAGGAAGUUCAAAAGGAAACAAAAACUAAAGAAUGGCUAAGACUUGGCAUUAUUGAU